rnacentral:rRNA from 1 species
UGUAGCCUACGGGGCGCAGCAGUGGGGAAUAUUGGGCAAUGGACGCAAGUCUGACCCAGCGACGCCGCGUGAAGGAAGAAGGCCUUCGGGUUGUAAACUUUAGUUAUCAGGGAAGAAACAAAUGACGGUACCUGAAGAGAAAGCCACGGCUAACUACGUGCCAGCAGCCGCGGUAAUACGUAGGUGGCGAGCGUUAUCCGGAAUUACUGGGCGUAAAGGGUGUGUAGGCGGGACUGCAAGUCAGAUGUGAAAAUUACGGGCUCAACCUGUAAACUGCAUUUGAAACUGUGGUUCUUGAGAGCCGG